CCUACGGGAGACAGCAGUGAGGAAUAUUGGUCAAUGGGCGCGAGCCUGAACCAGCCAAGUCGCGUGAGGGAUGAAGGUUCUAUGGAUCGUAAACCUCUUUUAUAAGGGAAUAAAGUGUGGGACGUGUCCUAUUUUGUAUGUAUCUUAUGAAUAAGGAUCGGCUAAAUCCGUGCCAGCAGCGGCGGUAAUACGGAGGAUCCGAGCGUUAUCCGGAUUUAUUGGGGUUAAAGGGUGCGUAGGCGGCCUUUUAAGUCAGCGGUGAAAGUCUGUGGCUCAACCAUAGAAUUGCCGUUGAAACUGGGGGGCUUGAGUAUGUUUGAGGCAUGCGGAAUGCGUGG
rnacentral:rRNA from 1 species